rnacentral:sRNA from 1 species
CACCGCCUGGGGAGUACGACCGCAAGGUCAAAACUCAAAUGAAUUGACGGGGACCCGCACAAGUAGUGGAGCAUGUGGUUUAAUUCGAAGAUACGCGCAGAACCUUACCAACACUUGACAUGUUCGUCGCGACUCUAAGAGAUUAGAGUUUUCGGUUCGGCCGGACGAAACACAGGUGCUGCAUGGCUGUCGUCAGCUCGUGUCGUGAGAUGUUGGGUUAAGUCCCGCAACGAGCGCAACCCUUACUUUUAGUUGCUACCAUUUAGUUGGGCACUCUAAAAGAACUGCCAGUGAUAAGCUGGAGGAAGGUGGGGAUGACGUCAAGUCCUCAUGGCCCUUAUGUGUUGGGCUACACACGUGCUACAAUGGUAUUCACAGUGGGAUGCAAAGAGGCAACUCCAAGCAAACCCUCAAAAAAUACCUCAGUUCAGAUUGUACUCUGCAACUCGAGUACAUGAAGCUGGAAUUACUAGUAAUCGCGGAUCAGCGCGCCGCGGUGAAUACGUUCCCGGGUCUUGUACGCGCCGCCCGUCACACCAUGGAAGUUGGUUACACCUUAAGGCAAAGUGUAAAACCUUUGACUACGGUACGAUCAGCGACUGGGGUGAAGUCGUAACAAGGUAGCCGUAGGGGAACCUGCGGCUGGAUCACCUCCUUUCUAAGGAAAUCAAAAAAUAUCAAAUCAAUUAUUUUUCGAUUUAAAAAAAAACGGUAAUGUGACCGUCCUCAUUUCUCUUCUUUUAAUGUCUCUGAGUAAGAACAAUGUAAGGGGCCGGUAGCUCAGGUGGUUAGAGCGCACCCCUGAUAAGGGUGAGGUCGGAAGUUCGAGUCUUCCUCGGCCCACCAAUAUUACGGGGGAUUAGCUCAGCUGGGAGAGCGCCUGAUUUGCAUUCAGGAGGUCAGCGGUUCGAUCCCGCUAUCCUCCACCAAAAUUUGAGACAUUUAGCUUUUUUAAAUUGUGAAUAUUAUUAAUAUUAUCAAUAUCUAUAUCCGAUUGUUUUCAGAUAUUUUUUUUGAAAACAAUCAAAACAAAAAUUUGAAUUUUUCACAGAAAGUUUUUUUCUG